UACAGAGGGUGCAAGCGUUAAUCGGAGUUACUGGGCGUAAAGGGCGCGUAGGCGGUUAUAUAAGUGAGAUGUGAAAGCCCUGGGCUUAACCUAGGAACUGCAUCUUAUACUGUGUAACUGGAGUACUGUAGAGGGUAGUGGAAUUUCCGGUGUAGCGGUGAAAUGCGUAGAGAUCGGAAGGAACACCAGUGGCGAAGGCGGCUACCUGGACCGACACUGACGCUGAGGAGCGAAAGCCAGGGGAGCGAACGGG
rnacentral:rRNA from 1 species